rnacentral:rRNA from 1 species
AUUGAACGCUGGCGGCAUGCCUUACACAUGCAAGUCGAACGGUAACAGGUCUUCGGAUGCUGGCGAGUGGCGAACGGGUGAGUAAUACAUCGGAACGUGCCUAGUAGUGGGGGAUAACUACUCGAAAGAGUGGCUAAUACCGCAUGAGAUCUACGGAUGAAAGCAGGGGAUCGCAAGACCUUGUGCUACUAGAGCGGCCAAUGGCAGAUUAGGUAGUUGGUGGGAUAAAAGCUUACCAAGCCGACGAUCUGUAGCUGGUCUGAGGGGACGAUCAGCAACACUGGGACUGAGACACGGCCCAGACUCCUACGGGAGGCAGCAGUGGGGAAUUUUGGACAAUGGGCGAAAGCCUGAUCCAGCAAUGCCGCGUGCAGGAUGAAGGCCUUCGGGUUGUAAACUGCUUUUGUACGGAACGAAAAGCCCCGGGUUAAUACCCUGGGGUCAUGACGGUACCGUAAGAAUAAGCACCGGCUAACUACGUGCCAGCCGCCGCAGUAA